GCCUACACCACAACCACGGCAACACCAGAUCUGAGGCACAUCUGUGACCUACACCGGAUCCUUAACCCACUGAGUGAGGCCAGGGAUCAAACUUGCAUCCUCACAGAGAUGACAUCAGGUCCUUAACCUACUGAGACACAACGGGAACUCCUUUUUUUUUCUUUUGUUUGGUUUGUAAAUUUUAUUAGAGUAUAGGUGACUUACAAUGUUGCAUUAGAUUCAGGCUUACAGCAAAGUGAAUCAGCCAUACAUAUACAUAUAUAUCCAUUAUUUUUCAGAUUCUUUCCCCAUUUAGGCUUUCACAGAGCCUUGAAUAGAUUUCCCCCAGUCUACAGUAGGUCCUUGUGAAUAGUAAUAUGUAUACCUUUCUUGAAGCAUUUUUAUUGAUGUUCUAAUUGCUUCCUGAACUUUCCUUCCUUCCCCUCUUUUUGUCUGAACUUCAGUGAUGUCGUCAUAGAGUCAGACUACACAUUCCCAGUACAGGGAGUUCCUGUCGAGGGUCAAUGGUUAACAAACCUGACUAGGAACCAUGAGAAUGCCAGUUCGAUCCCUGGCCUCGCUCAGUGGGUUAAGGAUCCAGCAUUGCCGUGAGCUGUGGUGUAGGCAUCCAUGAAGAUGCCACUUGGAUCCCACAUUGCUGUGGCUGUGGCUGUGGCUAUGGCCAGGAGCUGUAGCUCUGAUUCGACCCCUAGCCUGGGAACUUCCACAUGCUGCAGCCUUAAAAAAGCAAAAAAGCCAAAAAAGCCAAAAAAAAAAAAAAAAAGGAAGGAAGGAAUGGAGGGAGGAAGAAAGGAAAUACAGAGAAAAAGGAAAACAUUCAAGCAAGUCAGCCAUUCAACAAAGUCAAGGAUAUUUAGUUCUUCCUCAAGGACUAUAGAUAAUAAUAUUCUGACCCAUGUCUUUGGAACUGCUUUGCAGGUGCUGUAGCCCCCACCAAGUGGAAGAAGUCAACUGUAUGAUGCCCACCAGCACAUAGACCCUGGACCAGCUGGAAUCAGAAGGUUGAUGAUGCUGAUUCCGUAUUACCUCACCACCCACCAAUCAGGAAAGUGUCCAUAAGCUGAUCAAACCCUGCUCUUUGAACACUACCUACCUCCUUAACCCCUCACUACCCCCUUCAAGGGGAGCACAGUCCUUUAGGCACUCGCCUACUGUGUUCCUUCUUUGCCUGGCAAUUAAAGCUACUUUUUCUGUUUCCUCCAACUCUGUCUCCAUGUUUCUAUUUGGCAUCAGUGUACAGAGGCAGCUGAGAUUGCAGCAAUAGGGCCACUGAGAUUCAGGCUGGGGGCAAAGAUCAGAUGAAGAAGGUGGUCUCCUGACUAUUUCAGGUGUCCUCUCAACAGUCACUUUCAAAUGAGAGAUAGAACCAAAGAAUCAAGGAAGCAAAGAAAAGAAUUGGACAGUUAUACCCUGACAGACCUUUGGAAGAACUAUAUGGGAGUUCCCAUUGUGGCUUAGCAGAAACGAAUCUGACUAGUAUCCAUGAGGAUGCAGGUUCGAUCCCUGGCCUCGUUCACUGGGCUAAGGAUCCGAGUGGCCAUGACCUGUGGUGUAGGUUGCAGAUGCAGCUUGGAUCCUAGCAUUGCUGUGGCUGUGGUGUAGGCCGGCGGCUACAGCUCUGAUUAGACCCCUGGCCUAAAAAGACAAAAAAAAAAAAAAAAUUAUAUGGCUAAAGAAAUCUGAGCCUCUAAAAAAAAAGAAAAAAGAAAAAAAGAAAAAGCUUUGAAUUUCCAAACUUACCUUCCAAUUUGCAGUAGGAAGUAGACUGCAAAAAAUGGAGCACACCCAAGGUUGGCACAGGCUUCAGUAACCUUCCAACGUGGACAGGUAUGAAAAUGGGUAAGGGAUAAGGUACAACCUUCCCAAGUGGAAGCAAGAGCUGCAGAGAGCAGCAGACAGGGAUUCAAUUCUAACCAAGGAAUUUCAUCAGUGCAUUAAGACCUCAUACUGAAUACACAACUGCAAAAUUGCUGUGGACCAGCAACUCAUGCUCUACCUCCUUCUUUUCUUCCCAAUGGGAGUGUUUCCUAUGGUUAUCCUUUUGUAUUCCACCAUUAGAUACUGUUGGUUCUUCAGGCAUCCCUCAAAGAUACCACAGGUUGAUACCAGACCAUUGCAAUAAAGUAAGUAUCAUCAUUGAAUCACACAUAUUUUUGGUUUCCCAGUGCAUCUAAAAAUUGUUUACAUUGUACUAUAGCUUAUUAAGUGUGCAACAGCAUUCUUUCUAAUAAAACAGUGUACUUCAUUGAAAAACACUUCAUUGCCACAAAGUGCUAACCAACAUCUGAACCUUCAGCGAGUCAUAAUCUUUUGGCUGGUGAAGGGUCCAGGCUCGAUGUUGACAGCUGCUGACUGGUCAGGGUGAUGGCUGCUGAAGGCCAGGAUGGCAGUUGCAAUUUCCUAAGGACAUACAACGAUGAAGUUGGCUGCAUCAGGGACUCUUGCUUUUACUUGAAGGUGUAGAGGCCACUGGAGGGUUAGUCAUUAGUCUAAUUUCAGUAUUGUGGUAUUUUGGGGAAUAGGGAGGCCUGAUAGAAACCUAGUCCAUUCCUGACUGUGUGAUUAAUCUCUCUAUCGAAAACUUUAUUCCUUUUCUUGUCCUUCCCCUAUUCCCCUCAGGAUUGAGGAGCUAUCAAAGAAAAGGAAGGAUUGAAACAAAGCAAGAACCUUUGUGGAGGAUGGAAACAGAGCAAGGUCCUUUCUGGGUAGAAAAGCCCCUCCAUGUCCCCUGUUCCUUGUU
ensembl:lncRNA